rnacentral:tRNA from 1 species
GACAGCUUGGCCGAGUGGUUAAGGCCGAUGGACUUGAAAUCCAUUGGGGUAACCUGCAGUGAGUUCAAAUCUCACAGCUGUCG